rnacentral:tRNA from 1 species
AAGGUGGAUAUAGUUUAACAAAAACAGUAGACUGUGGAUCUACAGACAAAGACCCUCGCCCUUUUGUUCACC